rnacentral:rRNA from 1 species
UACGGAGGGGGCCAGCAUUGUUCGGAAUCAUUGGGCGUAAAGGGCGCGUAGGCGGCCAAUCAAGUCCGACGUGAAAUUCCUCGGCUCAACCGGGGGCCUGCGUCGGAUACUGCUUGGCUUGAGUCCCGGAGAGGGCAGUGGAAUUCCCAGUGUAGCGGUGAAAUGCGUAGAUACUGGGAGGAACACCGGUGGCGAAGGCGGCUACCUGGACGGGUACUGACGCUGAGGCGCGAAAGCUAGGGGAGCAAACCGG